GCCUCGAUAGCUCAGUCGGGAGAGCGUUAGACUGAAUAUCUAAAGAUCCCUGGUUCAAUCCCGAAUCGAGGCA
rnacentral:tRNA from 1 species